CCCGGCUCCGCCCGCAGCCGGCUGCCUCCCGUCGCCGCACCGCACCGGCAGCGCGCCGCACCGGCACCGCUCUGCUCCGCUCCCUGCGCACCGGCGGGCGCAGCGCCGGGCAGGGCAGCGCCCAUGGGCUGCGGCAACUCCACGGCCGGCGGCGCGGGCGGGCGAGGUGCUACAGGGACUACUAAAGAUGUAGCAGAAGAAUCUGUAUCAGAUGAUGACAAAAGGAGGAACUAUGGAGGUGUCUAUGUUGGCCUGCCGUCGGAAGCAGCUGCCAUGAUUUCCAGUCAGACGAAAGCUGCACCGAAAGGUAUUGCAAGAUUAGAAGGAAAUAAAGACAUCAAGAUGCAAACAGCUGGAGUCUGCUAAGACCAGAUGCCAGUGCUUUAGAGAGAGCUGUCUUUGUGCUGAAGAUUUUUAUAUUUACGUAGCCUUCUGGAGAGCAAGAGAGAUCAGAGCACCAAAAAAUCUAAACUGUUGCAAGUUCCAACUACGGGUAAAGCUUAAAGUACAGCGUUGCAUCAGUUUCCUAUGAUGGUUGCAUUAUGGAAACCUCCUCCUGUUCUCCAGUGAAAAAGGAAAUUGGUGAACUCAUGGUGGAUGUUUCUGCACAAGAGCUAACUUUGAUGAUCUGCAACUUAUUUCUCUGUGGCCAUAUUGCAGAUUUCAUCAGCUAUCAGCUACGCUUCAUAUAUUUUCUCCAACAAUUUUUGAUAGAUUUUAUAUAGAAAACCAUCACUACUGUCCACUCAAUAGUUCCUAUGAAAUCUGCUACUUGGGUUAUCAACGAUUUCAGGCUUCCAGCUCCUGAAGACAAAUAUGCAUCUCAUUCUUGACCCCUUCGACCUCAAAUCAAGAUGAAAUAAGCUUGAAGAUUAAGAUGUGGUGUUAAAAUAUCUCAGUGUGAAUGAAUGUCUGUUGAUUUUGUCUGCUGAGUCUUGUUCUUGCAAGCCAAGCUGAUGAGAACUCAAGUAGCACUGAGUAAUAAACAUGCAGGCUUGCUUCUCACCUGCUUACCAUAGUAUAAGGGUAUAGUUUCCAUUUCACGUGUUCCACAAAUGGUCUAAAUGGUUUGCACAGCACAAGUUUAUUUAGUACAAAGCAAUUAGGCCCACGCCUGACCUGAUCACGAUUGCCUUUCCCAAAGCAGAAAAAACACCAGUCGUCCCAGGAUACGUCAUCGUUCAGCUAGUGCUCAAAAAGCCAACAACAGAUGCCAGUAAGCAACCCAGUUGUUUGUCCACUUCUGUCCUUCAGUUGCUGGGAAGAAUCAUCAAAAAGGUGGACAGGGCUGAACUCGAACAUCACUUGUUCUGCUACUGACAUCUGAACCCCCAUGUGUGGGCAGAGGAAAGAAAGAGGUGAUUGCUAAUGAAUAGCUCCCACCAGUUGAUGGUGGGACAGUUGCAAAGGGUAUUUUACUUGGUUUACGUCAUUGCUUGUUUUUCCUGUGCAGAGCUAAAGAGAAGCUUGGAGCACUUUGCAGAAUUGGUCUUUUAAUGUUUCAUCCUCUGAAUGUGUGGGAGGUACGGUGGUUUCUUAAUGUUUUUGUUCCUCUGCAUCAUUUACUCUCAAAAGCUUACUGAUAAACUGACAAAUGUUCAGCAUCAUGGACUGGAGUCUCUAAAAUAGAUACAGAUUUAUUUAUGCUACGCGGGCCUGUACCCAUCAAACUGAAUAGCCAGGGCCAUGCCCUUGUCUCUGAUUUGCAGACUCUUGUUUUCCCAAGGACAAGAUCUAGAAACUGCUUGACAGGACACUGUAUUCUAUCUUGGCUGAAUCCCACUUAGGGAACUGAUUUUCUGCUCAUCAAAAUUCCUCUCUGGUGAGCAGCCUUUGUUAAUAAAAGCACAUGAUCUUUCAUGGAGAAAUGGGUGUAUCUGCUUUUUAAAACUUACAACCUAUAGAUAUUUCUGUUAUGAGGAGAAACCCUAUAUGCCAGCUUCCAGCUGUGCAUUUGAUGGCAUCUUUGGAGAAUAUUUAGGCACUCAAAUGAUGGUUCAGUGUGAGAAUUAAAAACAGAACACAAGGAGCCAUUGAAUGACAGAGUUAUUAUUAAGGAAUAUAGUAUUUAUGAAGAAGAGACAUUUAAAUGUUGGGGCUGUAAUACCAUUUCCUUUGCUGUUGUCACUCUGUCUCCAGCCAGAGCUGGGGAGGCAGUGAAAAUAGUUCAGCAAAGAGUGGAUUAGGGCUUUAUGAUCUCAGAAUAUCUGAUCUGAGACUCUUCGACAGCCCAGAAAUAUGCUUGAAAUCACAUAACUCUGAGAAGUGACUCUUGAAAAAUUCUGGAGUAUGAAAGCAUAGGAUUGAAACCACAGUUUGUGAUUAGCUGAAAAACAAUCAAAAUAUCUUGGAUUGCAAAUUUUGGUCUAGUACAAACUAUUUCACCUCGAAGACAGCUGCUCUUUUGAAUUAUGCUGAUAAGGCAGUGCAUUUAUUUUGCUUUCUUCUUAAUACAGGACCUGGAGCUUUGUUGUAAGGGCCCAGCUUCUCAGUGUCUGGUUAGUCCAGACAGAGGCACUGCCCAUCUUGUGUGUGCCAUCCACAUCCUAGUGUAGUUCAGAGGAUGUGACAUAGAUCUAAACCUCUGUGUUGCUCAAGGGUUAAAUCUGUUGCUAAGAGGGUUGCAGAAGACCUGGUAAAUGCUGUUGUAAGCUCAGUUAGGACUUCAUUCACUAGAAAUGAAAUCCUUUCAUAGCAAAGAGUCCAAACAAGGCUGAUGCUGCAGAAAUUCAUAAAGGUGAAAUUUGUCUCUAAUGAACACAAGGUACUAAUUUACUUGAUUUCGUGCUGCCUGUCUAGCAGAGGAGUCUGUGCUAUAUUGGACUAUGGCUGAAAUGGCAUCACUAUUCCCUGUCACCCACGCAAGUCUAGCAAUUCUCAAUAAUCGUGCUUCCCAAGCAGUCGGUGAGUCACUGCUGAUCUGUUUCCUGCAAAGUAGACCUCUGUUUCGUUCCCAUGGUGAUCAGAAGUGACAAUUAUUACGGGCUGCUACUACAGUUUCUCAGUUGUGUGUGCCCACUGAAAGAAGCUCUUACCUGGUUACAGUCCCUUGGUGUUUUGCAGUACAUCGUUAUUGCUUCCUGUUGACAGCAAUUUAAACACUUCAGGUGAAUUGGCUUUAUGGAGAACAUGCUGAAGGAGGGGGAUUUGUGGAGUGUUUUUGUUUUGCAAUGUAUUUAGAACAAGACCAAGAAAGUAAUGGCUCUGUAAACUUUCCAUAGAACAAUGGUGUGCCAGUAUUGCAGGAAACCUUUUGAGGCUGGGCAGAAUGAUCCAACCCUUGUUUUAAGAACAAACAUGCACAGAACUUAGAUUUAUCAUAAUAGGAGCCAUUUAAUUUUACACAAUCUGACAAUUUUUGCUGUAACUCUAGGUUUUGCAAACAAGAGUAUUUCCCAGGCUACAGAAACCUGUCACCCAUCUGUGGGACUUUCUGUAUACUGGUCACUAUCUGGUCACUAUUAAAAUACCUACAGCUGAAGGUAGGACUCUGCUUGUGAAAUGGAUCGUUCUGUGAAAUGCGGUGAAACUCUCAUUAGAAUAACUGUACUGAGAAAAGAAUUACAAAGAUACCAUUGAAUGAAGCCUGGAUAAAAGGGGACUUCCUGUGCCAGAAAGGAGGAAACACAUAGAGAAGGAGAAUUAUGAUAUUAUGCAGUGAAGACAGAUGUAGAAAGAGGUUAGGAACAGAAAAUGACGUAAAAAAGGAAAUACUUUAAUUAAGUAUCUGCUCCAUUUCUCUGUGAUUCUAAUCUCUGGAAAACAGAGAAAGAAGUAGACCGCUGCCAAAUUGUUUUAAGACUGAAGAGAAAGGGGGAUUGGCUUAUCAGUUCAUUCCAACCCUCAGAAGCCUGAGACUGCAAACCUUUGGGGAAAUAACUUGUCUCAUUUUUAUUUGCUUCAUGCCUAGUGUAAUGAGCCCAUGAACCUUAUAGGUCCUUUUGGGUGUUACCAGUAUAUAUAAAUAUCCUGUCGUCUCUUUCAAAAUUUCUGUUGAUGUUCCCUUAGUUUGCCUCUCUAUUGCAGACUGAGAAAAUACACAAUAUGUAAAAAUAAUUACCAGGGUUAAUACAAGAAAAGAUUACAGAACAUGUGAAAAGGAAGCAAGAGCUUAAUCUGAAAAACAGGAUCGAGUUAGAACCUAAGCUUUGGUUUAGUUAUGCCAUGUAUUUUAGAUUUUUUGUAUAAUUAAUGAAUCACUGUGCAAGUGGUUAGUUUUGUCACAGCACCCUUUUUGGUACUCUGGGAAUUAUCAGUCCUCUCACAGAAAUUUUUUUUCUAGUCUUUGAUUCCUAUGUUAUAGGAGAUGGCAGUAAUGUGAAAUACUAAAUUCUGCACUUUGCCUUUGUUGCACACUUUUUAUGUUGACCAAAUCUCUGUGUUGUCUGUAGGACGGAUUCAGCUCCAUAAAAGCUGAGCUCAUUGGAUUCUUACCGUGAGGCUGUAAUUCAGAACAACAUGUUAAUUAGAGGCGGGUCAUAUUUGCUAACUGUUUUGUGGGGGACUGUGGGAAAAUGUAAGACUUUGUUGCAGUUAGGGAGGUAGUCAAACUUUGGAGAGAGUCCACACUGUAUCACUACCAAACUUUACUUGGCAGUAUGCAAACAUAACACUACACACAUAAAUAAACAAAAUCAGGGAGGUAACACACACCUUUAGGCUUACAUAUUUAUCAUAUUUAUGGUUAUAUAGCACUGGACACUGACUGUAACUUUGAGCUGUGAAUAUUUACCUACAGCUAGGUUUGCAUUCCCCAAAUGAUAUUGCUGUAAGGAAGCCUUGGAAGGGCUUCCUAAUACCUGGUUUGUUUGUAGGACCCUCACAUGCUUUUGGGAAAUCAACAAAUAGAUUUUCUCUAAAAUUUAAAUAUUUAAUCAGAUCUUAAUGGAUAAAUAGUAUCAACUUGAUCAAACUCCAAAUAUCUGCUUAUUAUAACAAUGUACUUCGUCUUUGAAGUCUCACAUGAAACCAGUUGCCUCCUUCUUUUUCCUCUUACAAGUUGUGGAUUACUUUAAUAAAUAAAUUCUUUUAGUUUUACAAAGUAACUGCUUCAAAUCAUCAGAUAAAACCAAAACAGUUUUUGUAAUAAGGAGACUGUGCCAGCCUGGGGAAACAGAGGUUCUAUAAAUUUCAAAUUAUUUGUAAUAGCAUGAAUAAUGGUUGGAGAACUUUCACAGCACUCUUAAAGAGUCUUUGUUUAAGACAUCAUAACUUGUAUAAGGAUUGCUUCUUGAGAAACCCAAGAUUUCCAGUGAAAAGAGCCCUGAAAAUCACUACUUGGGAAAUAAGUUUUGAUUUAUGAUAAUAUUUUUUCAAGAGCAGUGUUAUAUUUUUCUCUUUGAGUUUCGAGAGGAAGCCAAAUUCUCUUUUGAGCCAGUGAGGUAAACAAUCUAUCUCUCCUUGCCUGCAAACAAUUGCAGACAAUUCUCAUUCAGAAGUACAAGAAAAAAGAUAAAUGGUAUUGGCUAGCUCUAUCAUGGGGACAUAUAUGUUUAUACACUUCAAAUUAAUUCAAAUCUUUAACAAAUUAAGAUAGAUUAGACUAGAUUUCAUGCUUUAUCCUUUGAAGUAUUUUCAUUAAAUCAUGGUAUUAUUUUUUUCCUGUUGGUUGAAGUAAUCCCUGGCAAAACUAUUUCUUCUGUAUUUUUGUAAGAAUGUGUAAUUCAUUAUAGUUUUCAACACUUCUUGCACUAUUUCCCAUUUUUAUCUUGAGUUCACCUUCUGGCAUAAAACUCUGCCACAGCCUGGAUUUUACCUUUGCUCAGGUGAGCACUCCAAGUGGAUGCCACUGGAGAACAUUUUACCCUGAAGGCUGUUUUCUUCAGCUUCAGUUGAAACAUGGGCAGUGCUGCCUGAUCAUUCUCUAGGAGGAGUGUUUACUGCACGCGUGACUGUAUCAUCUGGAGACUUGGACUGAGAUGGUUUUAGGAAUCUUCAUUACCCAUGAGGGUAUUGAAAGCUCAUCUUGCCUCCUGCAUGACACCUCCUUGUCAUGGUUUAACCCCAACCAGCAGAUGAACCCCACGCAGCUGCUCACUCAGUCCUCCCCAGUGGAAUGGAGAAUUGGAAGAGAAAAAGAGAAAAAAAUCGUGUAUUGAGGUAAAGAAAAAUCCACACAUAAGCAAAGGAAAAUAAGGAAUUCAUUCACCACUUCCCAUGGACAGCCAGGUGUUCAGCCAUCCCCAGGAAAGCAGGGCUCUGUCACCAGUAACAGCCACUUGGGAAGACAAAUGCCAUCACUCUGAAAGUGUCUCUCUUUUGUUCAUCUUCCCCCAGCUUUAUAUUCUGAGCUUUAUAUGCUGAUUUGGAACACCCCUUGAGUGGGUGGGGGUCAGCUGUCCUGGCUGUGUCCCCUCCCAACUUCCUGUGAAUCCUCAGUCCACUUGCUGGCAGGGUGGGGUGAGAGGCAGAAAAGGCCUUAACUCUGUGUAAGCACCGCUCAGCAGUAAUGAAAACAUCCCUGCAUUACUGGCACUGUGUCCAGCACAAAUCCAAAACACAGCCCUAUUCUAGCUACUCUGAAGAAAAUAAGCUCUUAUCCCAGCCAAACCCAGCACACUCCUUCAAAUACACCUGUGGACAAGCAGCAUUGUGUUACGAAGUUGGAAGGCACAAGAUGGUGGGAAAGUGCCUCCAUCACAGUUCAGUUUGUGCAGUGAUGUGCAAAACAAGAGCAAACAUUAUUGAUACAUUAGUUGGAUAGUUGACUUUGCCACAUUUCAGAGUCUCUUUAGAAUGACUUUCAGUGAUGACAAAAGGAGCAAGAACAUAAGGAAUCGGGUCCUAUCAUACAAUAUCAUAAAUGCCUGUAUUAGACAUUACAAAUGAUUAGCAGCAUCCUGUGUACUGUCAUUGCAUUCGACACAAAGUAGUUGCAGUCUUGUAAUAAUUUCACCUGCACACCUCUGUAGAUAGUAAGGGAAAUUACUCCCAGUAGACAGUGGCUGAUCAUUUGACCUGUAGAUUUUCUUGUCUAGGUCAUGGAGUCCGGCUGACACAGAGUGUAUCUCUUCGUGAUCUGGACACCCCCACUUUGCAACCUGCUGGUUUUGCAGUGCACCUCUGUGGUGUCUGCCAGUGUAAAUAGCCAAAGUGCUUUGAAGAAACAGCUGGUUGAUUGGUGGGGCAGAAGGACACCUCCAUGACAUACUCCCUCUGUUCAUCCCACUGUCCUUUUGUUGCUCUCGGGGAGGUAUGGCAGCUUCAGACCCCCCAAGGGAGCAGCCAUGUGCUAGUGACCCUCCCCAGGCCAGCUGUCCCACGCCAUACCCACCCCGGACAACGGGCCAGUACAAACAGCACUGCUGAGCUGGAGAGGCUGCUUUGGGCUUUGGCUGGCUAAGUCUGAAGUAGUGCUGGGAGUUGUUUUUCUGCAUCCCUUGCUCUCUUAGCAGCAGACCCCAAGUAACUGCACUGGGUUUCCUUUUAUGUGCCUCCUGAACAAGCCUUAUGUUCAGAGCUGUGCUGGUGACAAUCAAAUUAAUCAUCAUCCCGUCAGCAGCUGCACUUUGUUGGGCUCUCCCAGCAGUCUUAGAAUCUCAUCCCAGGCUGUAGGCUGAAUAAAUCCUUGUCCAAAGUUGGUCAGCAAACCGUGCCUGGCCUCAAGAAACAGCUUUGAUUAGGGACAGCAAAUUUUUUGCUAUUAUUCAUGAUUGUUUUCUUCAAAUGUGUUUUUGUGGGAAAGAGUCCUACAGACCUGGAUGGCAAUGCUGGCUCCUUGAAGCCUGAAGCUUUGGCAUACUUUACAGAAAAGAUGUUCUGAUGAGAGAGAAUCCCAAAGCAGGGGAUUUAGGAUUUAAAAAACAAAACCCCUCCAAAAUGUGUAGGGAAUCCUGUGUAAUAAACCUUGAUAUGCCUCUGCUGCUCUCAUUUCUGUAACAUUGAAUUGAUUGCUCCUUAAAAGCUGCAAAUGUCUGAAGUUUUGAUUUCGAAGUAUCUAUACAUGUAAUUUUAGGAGUUAAAAAUUUCCCUUUUUUCAAAACGCUUAUUUCAACUUUUGAAAAAAAGUUGCCCUAUUAUCCCGAUAUCCAGGAAAUAUCCCAAAUCAAUUAAUCAAUCACUGCAAAGAUCAUGGUUAUUUAUUUUUCACUUUAGGGUUUCAUUUUAAUAGAUAGACUCAAAUGCUGGUACUAAAAUGAGGGGUUAUUUCAUUUUACAAAAUAUUUAGCAAUGACAGUGCUAACAGUACUACUUGUCACUUUGGCAUUGCCUGUGACAAAAUUGUAGUUUAUGGACAUAACUUAAAAAUCAAAUUAUUUUAAAUAACUUUGCUUCUAAAGGAGCUUUUAGGUCAAGUCUGAAAGCUCAUAUAGAGUAUAUAAAAACAUUGUCUCUGGGCUGCUUCAGAUUGUCCUCUAAGCCAUAAAAAUAUGUCUCUGAGGUUUUUUUCUAUAAUGAAAGUCAUGCUGUUUUCCAGUUGAUUCAUUAGAGCUCUGGUCUAGCCUCUUUACAGAUGCUGCUAUUAUUCUGCAAUGAAAAAAGGCAAACAGCCAUUUCUGGGUGCUCUGUAAAGUCUGAAAAGCAAGAUAGCUUAAAAUAAAUGUUUGUACCCUGCUGUGUUCUUAUGAUCUCCAAUGCACUUUGGGCACUACUGAACUAUAAAUAAGAUCAAAAUAUUCAUUCUCUCAUGCUCAAAAAAAUGUGAAGAAUGACAAAAUGAAGCUUCUUGGUAUAUUUGUACUAUGACAUAUUUUGACAAUGUGAUCGAUAUUGGGGUUUUUCCCAUGGGAUACAUGCUACAAUAGACUAACCUAAUUAGAUAUCUAUGAAAAAGUAUAUUUUCUCUUGAAAUUUUGCCAAUACUUUUUUAUUCAUUUUAUCAUUGCUUUGUCAUUGCUUUGGGCCAAUUUGUUUCCCAGGAAUGUGCUUUCCUUGCCUGUACAAGUUUGACAAUAAAAAUGCGUUUUUUUCUGUCCUUCUCU